UUCCAGUCCAUGUUCCUGGCUACAGGAGAAGGCAGAACAGUGAAGCAGAGGGAUGAGACCAUUGCUACCUACUGUCUACACUGCGUUACAACAGGUGCGAGACCUUACAGAAGGCCAACCCUGGGUUGUCAAGCACUGCAGAAAAACCACUGCUGGGGGCCUAUAACAGGUGUGUGCAAAAUAAAGACCCACCAUGGAUAUCAACAUUGGCCGAGGACCGCAAAGUCCAGGAGUGGGCUGGUAAAGAUGCCAUCCAUCGGCAUUUCCACAGCCUUACAACCCCACCGCUGCCAGGCUAAUGGAAAAGAUGAACGGAGUACUGAAUGAUUGAAGCAGGAAACCCAUGUUCUCAACCUGUGGCCAGGAGGCUGAUUCAAGCCCUGCGAACUGUAACCAAACAUCUCAGGGCAUCGUCCCACCCAUUGUCUACUCCUUGUUCACCCAGAGUCAAUACCAUCUGAAUUCAACUCUUAACCACCAAAGGAUCCAAAGGUUGCCAACUAUCAGUCAAGACAACAGCUCACUUUUGCCUACAGGAUCUCCCCCCAGAGGGGCACAUUAUAAACGACCUGGGACUGGCAGGGGAGCAGUCAAAUCCAGCAGGCAUCUGGGACCUCAUUCUGUCUCUCCACUGAGUCUGUCUCACUUCCUGGAAAAGCAAAUCAUCAGGAACCACUUCCUCCCUGGACCAAACAUCAAGAGCAUCCUUGACAACACGCACCGGUUCUGGCUGCCGACAGACCUUUUCAGAUGGGACGAACUUCCAAUCAAUUCUCAUUUCUUCCAGGCAUCUUUGCUGAGUGGAAGAGAAGUGCAACAGAGAAAAAAGCUCAGUAAUGGCAGGACCCCAGAUUUGACCAAGGUGGCAAAAUAUCCAGCCUGUUAAUAAAACAGAUUAAUAAAUUCUGUAAUUUCCAUCUUCUGGUUGAGCAAUAAAACCACAAAGUAAAAUAACAACAAAGCCCAAGAGAUUAUAUGUUUUUAUGGGCAAAGCGAUUAUACGAUUUUAUGGGCAAAGUGUGGAGAAGGCGAUGGCACCCCACUCCAGUACUCUUGCCUGGAAAAU
rnacentral:lncRNA from 1 species